AUUGAACGCUGGCGGCAUGCCUUACACAUGCAAGUCGAACGAACACAGGCGUUCGGGUGCUGACUAACGGUGAACGGGGGAGUAAUGCAUCGGAACGGGCCCAGUGGCUGGGGAUAACGGAGAGAAUGCUGUGACCAGACCGAAUGUGGGCUGAGGAUGAAAGCGGGAGAGCAAGCAGCAAUGAUUGGCCUCGCGCCUCUGGAGCAGCCGAUGUCAGAUUAGGUAGUUUGUGGGGUAAAGGCCUACCAAGCCGACGAUCUGUAGCUGGUCUGAGAGGACGACCAGCCACACUGGAACUGAGACACGGCCCAGACUCCUACGGGAGGCAGCAGUAGGGAAUUUUGCACAAUGGGCGCAAGCCUGAUCCAGCAAUGCCGCGUGCGUGAAGAAGGUCUUCGGGUUGUAAACCGCUGUUGUUCGGGACGAAAAGACUCUUGCUUAUAUCUGCACCUGAUGACGGUACCGAAAGAAUAAGCAACGGCUAACUACGUG
rnacentral:rRNA from 1 species